AUUAUCAGCUCAUGCUUCAGCGCUCUGCGAGUGUUUAUAGUCCUGUGACUUUAACACUUCAUGACUGAGAGCUGCUGCUCAGCGACUUCACCCACAGCAACCAUGAGUUUGAUCAGCGUCUUCAUCUGCACACUGGCCCUCUGCGCUCGAGGAUCCAGAGGUCAGGUGACUGUGACUCAGAGUCCUGCAGUGAAAUCUGUUUCUCCAGGAGACACACUCACCAUCAGCUGUAAAACCAGUCCUGCUGUUUACUUUACUGGUGCUUAUUAUGCUUUGUCCUGGUAUCAGCAGAAUGCUGGAGAAGCUCCGAAACUCCUGAUCUAUGCUGCUAACAGAAGAGAAUCAGGUAUUCCAGCUCGUUUCAGUGGCAGUGGAUCUGGAUCUGAUUUCACUCUGACCAUCAGUGGAGUACAGACUGAAGAUGCUGGAGAUUAUUACUGUCAGAGUGUCCAUGAGAUCAGUAGUAGCGACGUGUUCACACAGUGUUAGAGCGUCGUACAAAAACCUGGGUGUGUGUGAGUGCUGCAGCUGGGACCUACUGCAGGUGCUGAGGGGGACGAUGUGAUCCAACACACACACACACACACACACACACACACACACACACACACACACACACACAGUGUAGCAGUGGACGCUAACAGCAUGUUCAUGAAUCAUUUUCCCCAGAGGUCGCAUGUACAGGGAAGAAAGCAGUGUGUGUAGAACAGAGCUGUCUCAGUCCUGUGAUGAGGCCGAAAUACUGACUGAGACAUUUCAUGGAUGUGAUUCCGAGUUUAUCUGCUGAACUACAAAGAGUUUAGUUGUAAAUGGAGCUCCAUGAUCGAGCACGGAGUGGAACGUUAACUCCAAACAUUCAGUCACUUUAUGGAGUUCUGUGAGAUCAGAGGGUGAAUCAAUCUCAUUGUAAAUAAAAUGAGGUGGUGAUUAUCAAGCGUUUCACAUGAAUAUGAGCAAAACUCUAUCAGCUCCAAAUCUCACUGAUCUUCAUGUUGCAACACAAAGCUUAGAAAAGUGAAAGUUCUGCACUGAUUUGAUCUCACAGCAGCUAAUAUUACACAAUAACGCUCUUUAACUCUCAUCAAAAUGUCCUUUUAUUCCAGCUGCAUGAUCAUUAACUAUCAGGUUUUCAUUGGUUUGCAUCCUAUACUGGGUCCCUGCAUCACCGCUGGGGGUCACUGCCCUGCUGGGGGCUGGAAAUACCAAUUAGUGCAAAUGAUUUUGUGUUUAUGUUCAUAAAAAUGACUUCAAAUGAGUUAACUCUAGAUUUAGAUUUCCAGAACACUG